rnacentral:tRNA from 1 species
UCCUUGGUAACUCAGAUAGUAGAGAAUCUGCCUGCCAUGCAGGAGACCCAGGUUCAAUCUCUGGACAAGGAA